CUUCAAAACUCCGGAUCUUGUGCGGAAGCGAAAACCCUCGGAUGGCUGCAGAAACACAGGAAAGGUGGGUUGUGCUGUUAGGCAGGGCAGCCCCAGCUCGACGAGUUCUUACCAGCAUGCAGCAAGGCCCUGGAGGAACACAGAGGCGGCCAGGGAGCACCCCUCCCGGGAGGUCCUGGAGGAACACAGAGGCGGCCAGGGAGCACCCCUCCCGGGAGGUCCUGGAGAAACACAGAGGGGCGGCCAGGGAGCACUCCUCCCGAGGGGUCCUGGAGGAACACAGAGGCGGCCAGGGAGCACUCCUCCCGGGAGGAGUGCGCCAAGCAGCCUUCUCCGAAGCUACUGCUUCCUUUAGGCCCGAGAGGCAGCGGAGUAGACCUGACCAAGAGCCAACCAGCUCUCGGCCCCACCACAUUUGAGAAGGAUUCUCUUACAGGCCAGAAAUGUGCUGGACAGG